GGGGUUGUGGCUCAGUGGUAGAGCACUUGCCUAGAAUGCAUGAAGCACUGGGUUCUCAGCACCA
rnacentral:tRNA from 1 species